rnacentral:rRNA from 1 species
UACGUAGGGAGCAAGCGUUGUCCGGAAUCAUUGGGCGUAAAGCGCGCGUAGGUGGCUUCAUAAGUCCGCUGUGAAAGUCAAAGGCUCAACCUUUGAAAGCCGGUGGAUACUGUGAAGCUAGAGUACGGAAGAGGCGAGUGGAAUUCCUGGUGUAGCGGUGGAAUGCGCAGAUAUCAGGAGGAACACCAAUAGCGAAGGCAGCUCGCUGGGACGUUACUGACGCUGAGACGCGAAAGCGUGGGGAGCGAACAGG